rnacentral:lncRNA from 1 species
UUCUUUUAUGCCCGGUAAGUCAACUAGUUAAAGUAAGUAAACGAGGUAAGUCAACUAGUUCAUAGUAAAGGUAAGGAUUGCUAGUAGAAGCUUUCAUUCUAAUAUCAGAAUUAUUGACUAUCCCCGAGUUGCUUAUUGGAAGGGAGACAAAGACAGAUGAAAGUCAAACACCCGGUUGAAAUGCCCCUGAAAGUAGAAUAGUUGGUUUCCAGCAGUGGCGAAAGAAGUCAUUGUUGCCUGAGGUAGCUACCCCGUCUCCUUUCUUUAUAAAGAUAGAUCCAAUUUGAAAAGUGUGAAGAGCAGGUUUGGAAGCAGUACCCGAGUAAGCACAGAUGGAGUAGUUGGGGCUUAAGAUAGUUACUCCAACGGAAACAGCAUCUAAGCUUUAUCCAAUGAUGGGAGAGAAGAGAGAAGGCUUUAUCCAAUGAUGGGAGGGAAGAGAGAAGAAAUGAAAGCAAAAUCAUGCUUGCUUCACUCACUUGAAAAAGAUUGAAAAGGCUUAAACAACCUUACACAAACAAGGGAUAGCUUUCGAAUUAAAGCCAACUUGCACAGUGAUGAGCUGUCGGUCUAGUGCCAGUACUUCAUCUUAAUCCCGAGUUUUAGAAGUUAUCUACUAUAUAAGAGAGAAUUUCAGUAGGAAUGUCUCAGAACCCUCAUUCUUCACCUUCCUUCCAGCUUGAAUUAUAGCUGAUGAUAUCCCUAUUUGCUCUCUUGCUGAUGAUAUCCCUAUUUGCUCUCUUAUUUCUCACGGGUUUAAGAUUCCAUCCUUAACCACCUACUUUAGAUUCUUCCAUUGCUAUCAGCACUAGGACUUUCAGCUGCUAAUAGAAUACUUUAUAUAGAAUAGAAAAGAAAGAUAGUUAGUUAGAAUAGAAAAGAAAGAUAGUUAGUUAGACCCACCCCCAUAUUAUAGUAUAGGAUGAUCCACUACUCCAGCGGGGAACUUUGACUCUUAAGAAAGAUCUUCGCUGGAAAUACAGGGUGAUAGUGAAACUCCCCCAUUAGAUAUAGGGACGGACUGGCUAAUAGAAACAACAAUAUUGGACCUAGACUGAAGCUCGAGAUAGUGGCGCGUGAGUCAUAUUCUUUCUCUUACUCUUGCUAAAAGUAGAGAAUCCACUGCUAGGGGAAAUUGAGUCAAGUCAUAAGGGAAUUAACUAGCAAGAAAGGAUACAAGUCAACAGUGAGGUUAGGGCUAUAAGUAACGUGAUCUCGUCUCAAGUUGCGCUCGAAGUAAAGGGGAAAGUCAAGUAACUACAUUUCAACAUACAUGGAAACAGUGCUUCUAAAGCAUUGACGCCUAUAAUGUCUGCUCUGCUGGUGUUUAUUCCCUUGGCAAUACUUAAUUGAAUCUAGCGUUCUUGCUUGUUUAAUUGAAUCUAGCACCGUUCCUCAUAUAGAAGAAAGCCUAAGGGAUAUUGGAACAAGUCAAGUUUUCGGCAUAACUUCGUAAGCGCAACAGAGCUCGCUAACGUGUCUUAGGUUCUUUGGAGUUUGAAAGCCAUACGACCCUAAUAUAUACUCAAUUCAGUAGAUGUACAAUGCGAACGAACCCUACAUCUACUAAUUGUUAUCUUUCUAUCUUUCUCGCUUCCUUUCCACUUAAAAGCUCACUUUCGAUUGAUACGAAACCUGAUACGCGCAGAAACGGAUAUACCACUUGAUACUUGCCUUCGCGCAGAAAGAAUAGAAGAGUUGACUUACCCAUCUUCCAUUAAUGAAUCUAAGACUGCAGCCCUAUUAAUAAGGUUUCAUUGAACAACUUAUAGAAUAGAAGAAAAAGUCACUGGUCACCUGACUGCUUCCUUUAAUGACGCCACUGCUUUCCCUAAUCAUUGAAUAUAUCGGAACCCCAACCAUAUACUCAAGUACUUUAUUCUAACGAAAUUGUUUACCUGUUCGAACUCAACAACACACAACCCCAAGAAGAAAGGAAUUGUAAUCACUUCGUUUGAAUUCUGUUUCUGUUUAAAAGUAAGGGUGAAGUUAAUAUCCAUGAUAAUUGCCUGAAGCCGGAUUAGGAUCAUCAGAAUUAUUAGAUGCUAGAUCAGAUUCCAAAGAGAGGGAAGCUGUGUAUUCACUGGGUUCUAUACCAAGUGCUCGAGAAGAAAGAUGUAAUUAAGAUUAAUGAGCUCCUUCCAUUGUCUACGAAAGAGGUGAUUGGCGCUUGACCAUCUAGUUUAUGCAAAAGAAGUGGAAAGUAGAGUUUCGGGUAAGUAAAGAGCAGUUUCAUUACUUAUAUUAUAUAUAGCCUGGGAAAACGUGACUUUGACUCUGCCCAAGAAACAAGUCCUGUCUUCGUAGAUGCUUUCGGUGCGGUAGUCAUAGUCAUAUAUAUUACAAGUCAUUACCAAGUCCUGUUUCUUGCGAGCUAAAACACCCUUGCUUUCAUUCAAUAUCUCUAGUUUAGGUAUUCCUUUCCCGACUGCUGACUUUCUUGUUCAUUCUAUAACUAAUAGAUUACUUCUAAGAACCCUACUAUACUCUAUCAGCCUGAAAUCACUGCUAACAAAGAAUCACUUUAUUGCCUAUGAGCCUUUGACUCACUUUACUGCCUUUUACAAUAUAACUACUGACCGAAAAUCUCUAUUUCCCAACUCCGGCUUUACAACAGAGCUCCCAUAAGAUAAGACAUUUAGUGGUAUAAGUAAGAGAACCACUCCAUAAGUAGCAGACCUAAGCUACGACAUCAGAGUUAUACAAAGUAGUCUAUGCCUUAGUCCAUGCCUUAUUGAUCUCAUUACAGUACAGGGCCUUACUCGGUGUUUCCAGCGCUCCGUCUUAUUUCUUCUUGUCUAGGCCUACCGCUACUCACUCGACAAUAGGAAUUCCUGUCUAUUGGACUUGCCCUCCCAGCGCGUGGUAUCAAACUUAGACUCCCGCCUUACAUGCUUAGCUUCCGGCUUCGAAUGCUUCUUUUCAUUCUGUCUCUCCUGCCUUACAUGCUUAGCUUCCGGAUUCGAAUGCUUCUUUUCAUUCUGUCUCUCCUGCCUUACAUUCCUCCGUAUCAGGGAGGCGCGCCUUAUCAUUAGUUAGUUUCAUCAAACUGACACUAUACUGCCUUUGGGAAUCCAACUCAAAAGUAAGAGAACUAACGAGACAUUGAUUGAAGAAUGGAAUGAAAUAGCACAAGAGGACCGACCAAGCAAAGUAAGAGAGUCCAACUCAGUAGUACGGGAAUUCUGCUUUCUCUAUGGAAUACAACUAGUCUACACCAUAGAUCGAACUGAAACUAACAAGAUAAAGACUCGAAACCGGGAAACCCACGACUAAUGUGAAGUAAAUAAAAGAAUCCCCCACCUUGAAAGUCACUAACGGAAUGCCCUACCCCAAAUCUAACAUGAAUUUGAAUACUGGAUUUUGGUAGACCAUACUACUAGGUUUAAGAGAAGGAGUUUUCUUCUGAGUUGAGAGAUGGAGAACACUGGUUUUGGGUGAUUACUUACAUACGCGGUGUGGAGAACCAGACUUAUGCUUUUUCUUAUUAUUCCGAUUCUUCCUGCUUGCUAACAUUCUUUGACUACAACCUACAACUAAUAAUCAUAAGGGAGAGGGAGAGCAGCACUAAGAAUGAAACAAAAGCAUUGGUGGGGGCAGGCCCGGGAACACUUGUCCAAUUCUCUAUUAGAAGAGAAAUUCUUAAGGUCUAUUCUUUAGCAGCAUCGGUCUUGUCAGUAGCAGCAGAGUUCCUAGUAUAAGUACGAGUAGCAUUGGUUCUGGUCUUAGAAGCAAGUGGUUUCAAUCUUAUAGUAGCGGGUUUCUUCCCUUAGUUUAUAGGUAGUAGUUUGGUGGCCCUAGCCUUCAGCUUAAAAGCAGUAGUAACACAGUCUUGUCUUGUUAUCAGGGAUUCAAUUCCGUUCUUGCUAUCAGUAGGUGCAACUCGCAAAGACAGAAGCAACAACAACUCAUGCAUAAACUCAUCAUUUGUUUUGAUUCUGACAGUUGUGUUUGUAGCAGAGGGAUCAUACUUGCUAUAAGUGAAGUAAUACCGAUGGCUCCGCGAGGUAAGACUCCGAGCAAGUUUUGUCAGAAUCGGAUACAGUAGCUGAAGAGUGAAAGUAGAGCAGCGUAGGCUAGAAGCAAGGAAAGGGAUCUGUAGUUAAAGAAUGGAGAACAGUAGCUCGAGGACGAAAUGCAUAAAAGUAAGGUUGUUGCUAAGGGGAGUCUGAUUUCACUUCAGUAAGGAGUCUAGGCCUGUGAGGUUUUGAAGUAAGCUAAAGAAUAAUAGUAAGUAAAGGGAGACUAACACGGAUACAUAGGACCCGGAUGCCUGGUUCUAUCCUUUCUUCUUAGUUUAAUGUCUCUGUUCUCUAGUUCGAUUCCCGAGUUCUAUGAGCUAGAUUAGAUCCAUUAGCAUAGUUAUCGGCAUUGUUAGUCACAGUUCUUCCAUUCCUGGUGUUCUUGUUGAAGGCUUGUCAGGUGGGAGCCCCUUAGUACCCUAUUUCUUACACUUAAUGCACUGGAUCAUACCUAUUACUACUUAGUGUCGAGUCCGGGGGCGCAUCAGUGUAAACCUUAGUCUAAGUUGAACAAUUCUUGGGUUACAAGUAAAGGAGAGUUCGAAUAGUACCCUUCCUUUCUAGUUCCAUUCUUUUUAGCAGUAGUUAUGGUCUGGUUUUCUGAACUUGGUAUUGGGAGCAGGUAACUGACGGUACAAGUAUAUCUUCCAUUCUGUAUUGAAUACUUUCAAUAAAUAGGCCACGGUUGAUAUGACUACUUUAAAGACGUAGGCUAGGUCGGGAGUGACAAAGUUCAAAGGCAAUAAGGCUGGGUGGGCCGCGGAGUAAGGCAUGGGCUUAGCAUUUGGAUUCUUAUAUGGUUGCGUGGCUAUCCAUUCUUCUAAGUAGGGAUUUUCUCCCCAGUUGUUAGUUAAGGUCGUUAGUACACUGUUUCUUUCUUUACUAUAGGAUGAAGUCUUAGAAGCGCCAGCAGCAGUCUCAUAAGUAGCAGGUUGAUUCCCUAUUUAGAUAUAUAGCAGUUUAAGAGACAGUAAGGGGGCAGGCUUGUUAGCAGUGGGUCCCAAUCUGUAUUACAUAAGAGAAAGCAUGAGACGGCCACCACACCAGCGCAAGUCUUUUGUUCAUUAGCUCUAUUAUGAGGAGCACUAUAUAGAGUUUUCAAGCAAAGAGAGGUAGAGUGAAAACAAAGAUAGUCAGGAUUAUAAACGCACAAGUCUGGUUUUGAGUUCAGUAGUGAAAAGCCUUAUCGAUGUGAGUCGGAUUCUUUAUUACAAUUAUAAGAAAAAGUAUUGGAAGUGGUGUAGGGGUUCAAGCCUGUUUGUUAUCGGUUCAACUCUUUGACUUACUAGUGGAGUUCCUUAUUCCUUAUAGUAUGGAUUUGAUUCUGAUAGAGUCACUUUCCGUCUUAGAAACAGUUGUCAGAUCCCCAGUUAUGAGUUACAAAAGUAGAACUUCUAAGCAAUAGCCCUGUUAGUACUAAUUGGAUUCACUUACAAGAGAAGCUAGUCUGUAAGUUCAAAGUGAGUCUGUAAGUAGUAAAGCGAGGCUGAAAACAAGUGUAUUAAGGUGGAUCGACAUAAUGAGGCUGAUGAGCAAGGCUUUAAGGCGGGGUUGGCAGGGUGAGCUAAUGAGUCAAUACAGAAUAGAAUGAAAUCACUGCCGAUUAGACUUUCACUGCUCACUAGCAACUCCACUAUUUUGAGUUUUACAGACUUACUUAUGUGGGUAGUUUACAGAAGCUCGGUCUUUAUUUGAAGACCAAUAGCGAGUAAGGGCUGGCUAAUAGACAGGAGAUAUGGACGGAUAUACAGGAGCUACGGAGUUAGAAGCAAUAUAGUUUCAAUCUUCUAUUUUGUAAUUGGAUUUUUGGUAGUAAGUAGUAAGUAGUUGGUUUCUGAGUUGUUAGUUCGAUCCCUCCUUCCCCUGUUCGAUUCUUAUGAUUACAACCAUUAUGACAUUCUUAUCUUUUGGUGGACUUUCUGAUUCUAUUAUUGGGUGCACUAGACCCGUACGCUACCCACUUUAUCAGUACUAGAUCCUAGCCUUAUAGCUUGUUAUCAAAGAAUGAGUUGUGUGGAGCCAGGGCAGCGUGAGCUGCCAGUUAGUAUUUUCAUAUAGGCUGUUUCCGAGUAGUUCCAUUCGUUGGUGCACUAGUUAAGCCUGUUGGGCAUUGUUCUUAUUCUUUGAGUUUGAGUAGUUUCAGAAUACAGCUAAGGAGCCUAGUCCUGAGAUAAGCUAUAGUAAGAAUAAGACGACUCAGUAACAAGUGAAAGAAAAAGAAGACUAGGGUGAAACCAAGAGAUAUAGAAUGCAAGUCGAGGUAGUUAGCCUUGUUGUUACUAGGUUUGAGUUUGAUAUAGCUACUAUAAUACUCCUGAGAGGAAAUAGUCAGAAUGCCAGGCAGGGAAGUCAGACCAAUAGCCAGGAGAGUCGGACUAAAGCUAAGUAGUAUAAAUGAGGUUCACCUCCACGAGUCUGAUGAGCAGUAAAGAAAGGGUCUGAGGUAGUAAAGUGAGUCUGAGAAGCACUCGUUUCAUUCCUUUGAUCUGGUGUCUAUCCCAGCACUACUUAGUACAAUUCCCUCUUCUAAGUUAGAGUAUGUUUGCCAGUGGGUCCAGACCAGUAUACUUGAUUAUUUGUUUCAGUCCGACUAGCAUCAGUGCAAGUCUGUUUGCCCGCAGAGUCCAUUCCUUCCUUAGAGUUGAGUUCGCCAAACAAGCUUGGGAACACCGAAGCAACAUUCCUUUUUCUCUCCCGUUGUAGUGUACCAAGAAGGGAGUUAAGAGUAAGCUGUAAGAUGUUAUGUUCAUCAUCUACUUCUAAUUACCCAAAUCUAUCUCAUCUCAUAAGACAGGCUUCAAUCUAUCACUAAUUACUAAAUGAAAUGCAAAUUACCCUUUCUUUCACAAUACCACUACCCUAUAUCUUGAAACUCUACCUGAUACGACUUACAGCGUUGCGAAAGACUAUCACCUAAUGCCUUUAAUUUAAGCGCUUAAGCUUUAAUGAAGAAUAUCGGCACCAAGCUUUCUACUGCUGGACUUCGAGCGGAUGAAAUGAAAGACAAGGCUGUGGGACGUGCGCGUACUAAUCAAGUCUGAGAAAAGAAGAAAUGCAAGAAAUACUCACUAACGCAACUUUACGAAAGAAAAGAAUUCAGCGUGUUAGCGAGCUAAGCCUUUCUACUUAAGCUUCCUUCUGGAUACAAGAUUAUUCCCGUAAGCAAACACUACAUAGUAAAGAGAUGCUUCACCACCUAAUAUAUACCAUUAAGCAAUAAGGGGCCUAAAUCCAAAGUGUUAUUAUUUGGAUUGCCCUUCUAGUUUGCCGAUAUGAGUUCAACAAGUUAUUUCCCUUCACCGCUUGCCGAUAUGAGUUCAACAAGUGAGUUUCGUUUGCCAUAAAAAGGUAGAGAAAAGAAUUCUUUCGGUGCCUACGCCUCAGAAGAAGGAGUCAGCACUGCAAUUUGUUUCCAAAAUGCUAUAUGUUUCACACGCGCUAGAGUAGUCCAUUAGCCCUUGUGAGCGAGCCGAGCGGGUACUCACGUAUGCACAAGCCGUUCUUAAGUAAGUGGUUCGUUUUUAGAGUUUCCGAAGUGAGCAGUGUUGUUAGGGAAUGCAUAUAGAACAAGAAGCAAGGUUGUAAUUAGACUCUUGAAGUAGUAGGUAUAAGUAGUAGGGAUGGUUUAGUAAUGCCUCAUUCUAAACGGAAAGGACAAAAAGUAAGCUGGUAGGGUAAAGCAGAGAACGAAGGAAGGUUUCUUUCGAAAGCAAUGGAAAGGGGAAGUAGCGAAGUCAAGGUUCAAUGCUUACUUAUAUUACGUUGUCGGUGCCGCCCGCUCUUGUGUCUAAGUUUCCCAGAGAAAGAAAGUUAGUGUUAUACUCAAAGUUCUCGGUGGUGCUCUUGUUAAGUCAAUGAGAUCAGUAGCAAUUCCAGUUUACGAGAUGGGUGCUUCUUCAGCGCUUCAAUCUUUUCCUUAUGAAGCGAGGUUAAGUUCAGUAUAGAAAAUAUGGUAAUCCUCAAUUCUAUUCUGUUUUUCACUUCCAGUAUAGUUUCAGGGUGUGCCUAGCUUAUUGAGUUGGCGACUAGCUUAUUGAGUUUGAGUUCCGGUAAGAAUCAAUUACUUCCUAAGCGAUAAGACAAUGAGUUUCAUCCUAGUCUACUAUAGAAUCAGGGGGAUCUGGAUCUUCAACAAACAGUAGAGGGAAAAUGAUAUGUUAGGUAACAUUCUUCUAUCCCAGGUGCUCGAAAAGAUAGAUUACUGUUUUACUCUGCGUUAAAAUCAAUUCCCACACAAUCAAAAGACAAUCAUAUUUUCUGCGAACUCACUAACGACAGAGGCAGUAUAAGAAUCCAACUUGAAAUACAGAUGUGAGGUAAGGAAUGGAGGAACAAAGCGAAAAACUAGGAGGGGGUCCCUGGAAUGCAAGAAGCUAAAUGUGCCCCAGGAAUCACACUUGGAAGGGCACGGAAGAAAACGCAGAAGUUCGAUUUUCACUAAGAAGUAUCAGAAUGGGCCCUCGGGGAGAGUUGUAAAGAAUUCACUCCCAGUAUAACAGGCUUCCAAAAGCAACUAGGAAUUGAAGGCGGGAAAGACAGAGUGAAAGACCAGAGAAGAAUACCCUGACUAACAAGCAAGAAUGAAAGGUCUGCUCCCGGUGUCAGAGUGGGAUAAAGGAAAGGAGGACUCACACUCAAAAGCAAGAAAGUCAGAAGUAGGAUUUAGGACUAAGACUAAAGGGGUUAGUUCUCCGUAUUGAGAGUUUGAUUCCCCAGUGCAAUUCUCACUUCAAACAUUCAGAGUGAGUUUGUUAGGGUAAAAGAAAGAAUGUGGCCCUCCCCAGAGGGUUGACUCAUUGAAAACUGCAUGAUUAUCGAAUAUCCCCUCCUCCGGUAUAAGAGGCAUAGAUGGUACCACCAUAGUAUAAGAGAGAUUUUGUACAACCUAUCUUGCUUGGGAUAUUUGCUCUGUUACAACCUACAGGAGGCACGGCACCCUCAUGAAAAAUGAUGGAUUAGUGGGGCGCGGUGUCUCAAGUUCUAAAUUGGAUUAGACACAUGUUGUUCAGCAACCCUGUUCUAAAUUGGAUUAGACACAUAUUGUUCAUUACCCCUAGCAUAGUAUGAGUUCUGGCACUAUAACAUCGGCCAUGCCAUUGGGGGAUAUCCCAACAGAAGAGACAUUUGCUUAUAAACCCUAAUUAUUAUGGCAUAAUACAUUUCAUCUCAGUCCCCUCUAUAGAGUUGUCACAAAUCAUAUAAUCCAAAGAAUACCCCUUUUUUCUUUUUAUUCCUGCAUAUCUUGAUAAGAGAGGUCAGAAUCAUAAGUCAUCGGACCCGCCAAACAAGCACCGACCCUCGAGCCAUCAGCCUGGGGUGGGGAAACGAUGCGUCAUUAGAACUACUUGAGUAGGGGCAGUUACAACAGCCUUGAUUCCAGAGUACUCAGCAGCUUUCACGUUCGGAUUGCGGCAGACUACACAUGUUCAUUUAACGCUUUCUAAGCAGUUUUGUUUCACUCAUAUUAAUAGACUAUAUGGUUUCACUCUCAUUGACCCGAAUUAGAAAGAACUAACUCAAUCUCUACAGGCAGGAAUCGAACCCUCUAACCCAUUUUUGACCAAAAGCAAGUGUAGUUUGUUUGCUAGAGUCAUUAAUAUUAGAAAUCCCUGUUAGCAAAGAGUAUGCCUGCGUGUUCCGACGAUGGCCCAAUAGCUGGACUGAAAGAAAGUAGUUAAUCAGGUCGCCGAGUCAACUAAUCACAUUCCAUAAUUGUCCCCCUUAGCGUUUGCGCUUACGGAGUGUAGUUGUGCGUUUGCUUGUUGCAUAAGAUUGAAACUCACUUAAAGAAAGUCGAAUGUCUUUUGGAAUUGUUGAUCGAAAGGCUUGUCAAGUAAAAGCUUAAGGUGUAUUUUCUUCUUUGCUAGAAGUUUGAGUGCAAAAACUCUCUUUUGAGGAUGGGAAGGGUCACUGCCUGAAUGUCGAAUGAACUCGGCAAAUGACCUAAAUAGAAAGGCCGCGAAGAAAUAUCCGAGUACACUUGCCAUCGUAUCUGGAAAAGGCGGGAAAGGACCAAUAUUCAUAUGCAAGGCAGUAUAUCGGGAUUCUACCAGACCACGAAUGUGGCACAAGAUCAGCUAACUAUUCGACCAUUUGGCUUAGCAAAGACUAGUAGGGACAAUCUAUCUCUAUCCUUAGCAAAGACUAGUGGGGGCAAUCUAUCUCUAUCCUUAGCAAAGACUAGUGGGGGCCAAUCUAUCUCUAUCUCAGCUCCUUAACCACUCCUACAGCAAAAGACAUAAUCCAAGACUAUAAAGCUCAUUACUUGACUCAUAAUCACCUGAUGAUUAACAGGCAAAGAAGCUCUCUUAUCUGACUCUUACACCUGAUGAUUAACAGGCAAAGAAGCUCUCUGACUCUUAUAUAAUAACUUCGAGAGGAAAAAAGCUUCGCUUCCUUUGAAUUGCCGCCCAUCUUAACAGGAAGAGAAGGCUAUCUGCUCGGAUUCAUAUGUUUGUAUUCAAAUCCAGAGGCAAUACCAAUUCAGAGAAGGGGGCUUGCUCGAUUCGCAGAUAGGUCCGACAGUAUCAAAGAACUAACAGAGCAAUAUCGGUAAGCCAUCAACUUUGCGAGCCCACUCGUUAUUCAAGAGAGUCUCUGAUUAGAAGGCAGCGUGAGAAGCUAAGACCAAAAUCUCACAUUUCUUUCCUGCCGACCCCUGUUCUUAGCCUAACUCCAAACCACUCUUGCUUGAAAUGUUAGUUCAAAACCCGUUUUAGGGCGUUGGCCGUAUAACACCUUGUCGACAUUCUUGAAGCUACUAGUCUGGGAAGGGCCAAGUGAGUUCCAUCUCUAUCUGCUGAACGAGGAGCCCUUUCUUUCUAUUUGGGGAAUAGCUUUUAAUCAGGAAUAACCAGGAAAAGAAGCAUGAUAACGAGCCUAGCGGAAGGGGGAAAUCUCGAACUUCCAGAAUGAAUGCCCUUAGAAGACCAGGCCGGGAGACGACGUCUGAGAGAAUGCUUGGCCUCCCAUACGUCUGCAUAGAAAGAAAGCAAUACAUACGAUAGACGAAAGAAGCCCCCACCCCAUCCUGCUUGAGGGUUUUCGCAGCCAGCUUCUUGACUUAUUGGCUUAUUGAAUAAGAUUCGCUGCCCAUCUAGUAAUCUCUAGCUCGGCUUAGGUUAUAGAGGGAGGAGAUUUACGGAUAAGUUUAGCGUCGCGAUCUAUUGAAUGAAAGGCAGGAAUGAAUGGACGGAUUGCUUGAUCUAAAAUAGGAUCUAUCUUUCUUUGUUACCGUGACAGAUGCUAGGAAGAGAAAGCUUAUCAUUGUUUGGUUCCGCGGGGCCACACCCUAUCGAGAGCAGGAUGAUCACCAAAGUCAACCAUCGCGUCAGCCCUUGAGAGUAAGGGGUUUGCAAGUGACUCCUCCUCCCGACAGUACAUCAGCCCUUUUCCAGUCCCCCCUCCGCUCGGGAGAUUAGGCUUUCAGCACCUUCUUUUUCUCGCUCACAUGGCACUACAGUGUACAGGGUAUUAUGCACUUUCUCCAUAAUCAAAGCAAAAGCACUAACAAGAUGAAGGCUCGGAUUCUCGAUGCAGGGAAUACAGGGAAAACAACCCUCUGUCCCUUAAUCCUCUGAUGGGCAUGUCCCUCAGAUAGGGUAAAGAAACAAUAGGUACUUCUAACUAUGCAAUCAAUAGAAUAUCUAAAUAAACGAAAGCCACAUCAGGCCUGCACCCACAGAGCAACACUUUGGAAUAGAAAAAUCCCCCCUAGUGCAUUGGGAUGCCGUUGAAACGAAACCCGAUCAUUCACGGACACGAUCUUUAUUGCUUUCUUUCUUUACCACGUGUAUAUUGCUUUAGUGGACUCUUUUGAAUAUCAGCACGCUCUAAACCAGAUGUUGCUUGGCCCUAUUACCUUACUGCCGGUGCUUUCAUUCCUAUUGUUACAACCGCUUCCCGCUUCAUGCAGAAACCCUUAACAGCGGCUUCUUAUCCUUAAGCCUGAAGCUGUAUGCUGUGCUCUCAUUCUGUCCUCUCCUACUGCUAGCUCUCAAACAGCUCUUACCGGUAAACAGUAGCCGAAACAAUCUUCUAACAUUGGUCAAGAGGGUAGGAAGUAUCCAAGGAUAUAAAAUGAAUGUUGCUUCACUUGGAUAGAAAAGACGACAUCAGCCAUAUGUAUCAAUUGGAAAGAAAGCAGACAUCCAUCCCUUUUCAUCCUAUGCCGAUACACUGUAAGGUUCGACUAAGCAUUCACAGUAGAUAAGACGUAAGCUGGGAUUUAUAUAAUAUUCAUUCGUCCAUGACAUACUACCACCUAUUGAUAGAUCCACCUUCAUGCCUACCACCUAUUGAUAGAUCCACCUUCAUUCCCUUCUUCCUAUGGUUAGUGGAGCCUUUACCAUCUUAAUCUUAUUAUUAUUGUAUACUAUUUGGUUUGCAAUGUAGUCCCAGACCUAAUAAAUGUAAUCGCUGGACCUGCUAUUGCAUGUUUAUGAUCAGCUCUCUCAUCUUUCACUGCUAGGUUUCCGUCCGCUACGCUAGCCUAUUUCGUAGUUUCAGGUGGUUAAAUACUGCCUUCGCUUCGAUCCGUUGACCCGGGCAACCUCGCCCCUCAUCGCUUGUUCGAGAGCUAGAACAAACAACACCGGUUAGAUUCGAUUGCUAGCCAGGGGAAGGGGAUAUCCUUUCUAUUGGUAAGUUCUUAGCAGAUAUAAAAGAAAGGUGCACAAAGCUACGUGCGUGGGCUAUAAGAACUAACGCUAUAGGCUCACGCGAACUCACUCCCGGCCAUAUAAGACCAAACACUAACAUACCUGGCAGUGUCUCAUGUUUCUUUCAUCGCGUAAUACAGUCUUAAGCCAAUGUUUGAUAUAGAGUAAUACUGUCUUCCGCCAAGCUGCUAAUCCCUAGAGCUAGAGAAAUAAGAAGUCCGGGUUGGCAAAGUCAACUUCACUUCCUUAUAGCUAGAGCUAGAGAAAUAAGAAGUCCGGGUUGGCAAAGUCAACUUCCUUAUAGAUUAGCAGUUUUUACAAGAAAGGAGUUUCACUUAUACAUUCGUUUUUCAAAGAGUGGAUUAGAGGGUUAGCAUGGAAUUACUUAAGUGGAUUAGAGGGUUAGCAUGGAAUUACUUAAGAAUGAGCACGAUUACUUCAAAAUAGACUGAGCACGAGGCUUACAUACUCGGAUUGUAGGGUUCCUCAGCCCAUUACGUUCAAGCUGAGCACGCUUAUUCACAUGAGAAAGAUGAUAGCAUAGAUUAUACCUUCCAUGAGAAAGAUGAUAGCAUAGAUUAUACCUUCUUGGGACCUGCCUUAAUCCAUUUCCAUCCUUGGCUGAAACUAGAAGUGACUAUAAGCCUUUUCUUCCUAUUGUUUGAUCUUAAUGGCGAUCCCCUGAUGUUCAUGCCAUGUAGAACGAGGUAGGUAUUUACAAAUUCCGUAGCAGCUGUAAGCCCUCCUCCUUCCAUGUGGCACCGCGCUCCCGAUCUCCAAGUCUUCUCUUCGGGGUAACCCUUCCAAAAGCACGUCCUCUGACCUCUUUAAGAAACCGACAAGUAACAGCUAACCAACCUUUACUUAAAUGGAAAGGAUGAGACCAAAGUCCCAAUACCUAAAACCAAUCACACUAUAAUAUAACCUCUUCCAAAUAGGAUAUCUACAGGGGCAGUCAAAUCAGAAUGAGGGAAAGGACGGAAUCCGCAGCUAGUGGGCUAGCGCCGAAGGAUUCUCACUCUCCAAGCAAGAAAGGGCAAGCAAGGUGCUGAAAGCCUACUAAAUAGGAAUGCUGCCACUACUGAUAAGGCUGAAAUCACUACCGGAAAGAGCUGGACUGGGAACUCGGGAGCUAACUACUGAUCUGGAUCUUUGUCUGUUUGCUUUUCAACUGAUACUCAUGACAGUUAAGUUAGCCUUACACCCUUCCUUUACUUAUUUGAUUGACUUAUUUGAGAAUAUGUUUUCGUAUCUCAAUCCAGUACUGCUAUAUUAUUAGCUUUAUUCUCUAUUAGGUGUUUCUGUCUUAUUGGUAGCAUUUGCAUUCUUUAUAGCAUUGGUUUGACUCCGCUAUUAGUAGCUGGGUUCCCACUUCUUAGUGUAAGUAUUAGAAACUUAGUGUAAGUAUUAGAAACACUCUUUCCCGCUCUCUUGGUCUGUAACUCCCAACCCUGAAACUGAUACCCUUGCCUUCCAUUCUGUAGGGAACCCUCGCCAGAGGUUCUUCCAAUCAUAUCUUUGACUCUUACUUAUUCAUUUCAUUAUUCAUUUAAGUUACUCAGUUCACUUAUAUGAUAUUGAUUAGUCAGUUAUUAAGUAUAGAGGUCAACAAACAGCAAGUACUAUUUCGAUUUUAUGAUCCAAAACCUGUUUUUUCAUUUCACUUGAUAGCUCUUGUGCACCAACGACCUACCUAUUAAUUACCGGGGUAUAGAGAUACCUUCUAUGGUUGAUGGUAUCUUACAGAAUUAGUGAUCUUAUUUGAAGGCUCUUAGCACCCGAACACAGGGACUUGCUCAUCACUCACUACCCUCGACAGAUCAAACUAAGGAGUCACAGACACCAACAGUGCACUAACAGACUGAAAGCCAGGGCAGCGAGUAAGAGGUGAGCUAGUAGGAAAGGAAUCAUGAGCUAGGUCUGAUAGAUCUUUGUAACCAAGGGAAGCAGCAUACUUAUUAAUAAUAGGGCAGAAGGAGAGUCCAGCUCCAGUGAUGUGAUAAAGAGAGAAAGAAACAAAUGAACCAGGUGAUGUGAUUCAGAGAGAAAGAACCAAAUGAACCCAGUAUCUUUGGGUGCUUCUGAAAGGUUGCUUGCCAUGUUACUAAUGUUACAGAUGUUACUGAUUUCGGUCACAAUUAUCGGUCAUAUAUCGGUCAUAACCUAACUUGAAAACGGAGUUCAAUUCGAAUACUGUAAACCUUAGCUGUUACUCUAAGAGACCAAACCACUGCUAUACAGAAUCCAAUCCAAAUAAAACCCCAUCCAUUUCAAAGACCUAACUGAGGAAAGACCCAUCGAAAGUGCUCUCUAGACCUAACUAACCUGGGCUUACUCCCUUGACUUGAACUCCAAACAACCUUAACCAAGACAGAGGCUAACAGAAUCUAAAUUACCCAAUGAAAGUGCUCUUGCUCUCUAGACCUAACCUAGGAAACUAAUGCUUAUAAUAAAGAAUACCUUUCUUUCCUUCCAGCUGCACCAGAUCCAGAUAUUGAUGAGACUCUUUCUUUUGAUCUUGCUUCGGCUUCUAGAAACGAUUAGAUUACACCAUUUACUUAAGAGCUAGACUAACUGAACUAUACUAGGGCUUUUGGAACUCUAUCACAAGGAGCUACAGCACCAGGCAAGACACGCAAAGACAUAACAAGUAAUAAACUCAAUAAAUAUAUUCUAAAGAAAGAAAUCAAGAAAGAUAAAAGAUUUCACUCGACCCUAACUUUCUACUUUAGAACAAUCCGUUUAGUUAACCAACCAGAGGUGUGUUAUCGACCCGAACUAACUCUAUCUGACUUGCCCACCUCGACAGGGUGAAAUGCAUUGUUGCCCGCAGAGCAGCUUGUUGGACAAUUAGUUUAGUAACCGCUCUUUGCCUUUUUCUACUACUGUAGUUGUUUGUCGGUUAUAACUCUAUUAUUAACUGACUGUUUCUUGUCUUCUUUUCGGGUUGGCGAGAAGGAGCUAGAGGGUGAUGAGUUACCUAGAUAUACAUUACUUUGCUUUCCAAUUCCAUUCUCCAAUAAGCUAUCUGAUCGCUCGAAAGAGGGUAUUCGUUUUCCUCUCGGUCCUUGGCGCAGGGAUGAGCUAUAGUUAUUAAAGAAUCAAGUCAGAAUUAAGGCUUAAUUGGCACCUCGGGAAUAAUGACAAAGGUGACAAACACAGGUGCAAAAUUGUCGACGAGAAAAAGGCCAGUUCCUGUUCCAUCGGGAAAGCCUUUCACUCCCCACUUAUAUAUCUGCAUUUGCCCUGGGCACAGAAAGAGACUUUACUUGAACUUGACGAAACCCACUCAACUCUCCCUGACGCCAUGAACACGAGCAGUAAACAAUCUGGAGUGAAAUUACUGACUCUCAUAUAAUGUAUGUAUAGAAAAUUCCAUAAGCAAAAGAAACUCAAUAACUCCAUUCCAUAAGCGCAACUCAUUCAUUUGAAUUGAAAAAACACGGGUUUUGAUGAGUGACUGGGUUGGUUCGGAGCACAGGGACAGGCUAGGCUAUUCUGGGAGGACUGAUGAAAGGCUUUCACACCGGAUUGAGAGUUGCGCGCGGGAAACAAUAAGGCUUAUCAAGAGAAUAGAGUUGACUUAAGAAUCUAGUGGGGUGGUGGAAUGAAACCACAAGCACUGAAUACGAGUUUGAUGCGAGGUGUACUAAAGUAAAGAUCCCUUAUAUAAGCUUAUAUAAGAUGGAUAGAAAGGUGGAAGUAAGUAUUUGUAGUAGUUCCCUUAGUUAAUAGUUGUUAUAUCAGAGAAGAAGACCAGAGAAUAAGACUCAUUCUAAUAUCGGUAACUAUGGCAACUGGAUCUAACCCUCGGUGCUCUUCUCUUAACCAACCUUAGGGCUAUAUGACUUUCUAGUUUGAUACCUGAAUUCGAUCCUGAACACAUAACAAGUAAUAAAGAAAUAAGAACUCGUUAUUCCGGCUUAUUCCGAGUUAUUCCGGAGUCCUCAUUUCGCCUAAGUCAACUAAUUCAUAUUUUGGAUAGGCAAUAGGAACCCUACUUAUACUAGGCACCUGUGGAUCUGAAGUCAACAAUGAAUUCAUUUGAUCUUCAGUAAAAGUAGAAACUUGAUAAGGUACUGGCUUUGAUUGAAGCAGGAAUAAGAGAAGGAGAAAGAGCUGUUCGGUAUCCAGGGGUGCAAGAACAAAUAAGCUUAGGUAGGCGCCUAAAGUCACUACGUUUCUAGGUGCAUUCCCAUUUUCUAGAUAUAUGGUCAGUUCAUCAAUUUCUCUUUGAUUGAGUAGCCGCUAGUUCUAUCACUUACAGCCUCGGCGAAAUAAACUAGUCCUGUUGCUUGUGUUGUGUCUUAGUCUGCAAGCGAAGUUCUUGCUUUUGAAUCUGACUGGCUUCAAUCUAUCUCUCGAAUUAUCCACGCCUGUCAAGACAGUAGUUAUUCCGUAAACUAAGACUUAUGUGGGCCCCACCUCCCCAAGCAUUAAAGUGAAACAAAAGCACCCUAACUCCCUAAACAGAGACCAGAGAGUUGCAGACGUUGAUUCUUUCCCCUACCCUAACCUACCCUUACUUACUUCAAUGUCAAACAGGACAGGAAUUGAGAAAUCCAACUGGAAUCUUUCUUGUGCAUGUUCUACGCUGCUGACUGCUUACUUUAGUGUCCAAACACAACUGAGGAAGGAGACUCGUAUGAAGUACGCUGAAGAAGGACAUAAUAAACAAAGUAAAGGCAAUCUGGUAACAAACAGUCUCUAUUAGUAUCAUAGGUAUUCUAUGAAUUCUAGUUAACGCUAAAGCCAAGUAGGUCACGCAAAGAUAAAGGCUAACUAGCGCUAUAGGGCUUUUCUCACUAAGCUAAGGCAGGCGCAAGCAAAGUAUAAUCUAACUAAGCUAAGGCACAAAGUAUAAGUAAAAGCUCUAACUAAUAAGGCUUUCUCGAACUGCGAUACUUAUAUAGCCCAUUCCAUUCCUUUCGAGCCGAAACAUCAUUGAAUUCUACUAUGGAUUCUCUUUCUCUCUCGUCGACUUUAAGUCUUGGUCUUGUUACUGACUUUAGAACUGGAACUCCACUCUGGUAUCUCAACAGCGCAAGAAACAACCUUAUAUGAGUUAGCUUACUUCUUUGGGCACACGUUUGUUUAGCUCCAGUUGUCAUCGGCAUUAGCGAGUUACGUGCACCUCUUGCUUCCCUUUCCUCCAAAGCGUUAGUACUUAGGCUUUCGAUCUCCCACUUGAACUUGCUUCUUGUUCCAACAAACUCACAUAACUCCUUAUAACGCAAAAGAAGAGAAUGAGAGUUCACCCUAACGCAAAAGAAGAGAAUGAGAGUUCACCCUAACUACUUACAGGAAGGACGGAGCGUAGGCAUAUCAGAACUGUAAUCGUUGGCUUACGCUCAUAAUCUCUAGUAGUCUCGCUCGGCAUAUCAGAACUGUGAUCGUUGGCUUACGUUCAUAAUCUAUGUUCUCGUUCGCUGUUACGUGAAGAGACUAUAGUUGCCUUGGCAUAGUGGAACUGCUGGAUUACAUAAGUAGAGGAAAGAGCUGGAUCUGUGUUCUUAUAUCGGAUUCUAGUUAGUGUUGAGUAUAGGAAAGGUUGCUUUACCUUCUGAAGCAUGGUCGGUUUCGUUCUUGUGCUUGUUUGUUUGUUUACUUGCUCCUUACUCUCUUAUAUAUUAGACUUGCUCCUUACUCUCUUAUAUAUGAGUAUAUGUGGACUAUUUCAGUAAUACGCUUGACUUUGAAAGAUGCCUUGAUGGUGAAAUGGCAACCUCGGAAGCGAAUUCGCGUGUGGAUUGCUCGCCCUAUCAGGUAUAAGGCGGUAUCGAUCGAUUCCUUUCUUUUGGUUCAUUGGUUAGGUGUCGAUAGACGGAAAGGCAGGGCAGCGUAAGCUGCCUAAUUGAAAUAUAGAAUGGAGUUAUGAAUUUAAAGAACUGGAGAAAGGAAUGUAAGGCUCAUACUUAUAGGUGUAGGUUCAAAUGCGGAUUAGUUGUUAAGGGAGAUAAAUAGUAGGUUGAUUCGCUGGGUAGUAUUCAAGCCUAAAUAAAGGUAUUAGUGGGUUAAGCCUGUUAUUUACUUAUUGUAUGGAAUUAUUAUAAGCGCUAGCAAAACUCUUGUAGUGUUGUUAGCAGUUUCAGAAUCAAAGAAAGGAUAGUUAGGCUUGGAAGCAGGGCGAGCCCUUAAGCCCAUUCUUGUUCCUAUCUAUGAGACUUCCCUUCUAUCUUUCUUUUAAACAAAUACUCCGGACUACUAGGUUGAGUUCUGCUGUUUGUUGGCUUAGGUCUUCUACUUAUGAGUUAACUUCUUAGUUUCCUACUUGAGAGCACUAGCACUAGGGUUGUUUGGCAAGGAAAGAGAAAUAGAUAGCGUUGGACAAGGUGCUGAAAGCCUUACUACUGGGUGGAAUUCCGACUUCUUAGUUUCUCCAUUUAGGGCACAGUUUGACUCUGGCUUAUGAGGUGUCUUCCUAUAGUAGGUAGUUUGGUAGUUGGAGUUGAUUUCUUGUUAUCACCAGUUCGAUUCCGAUAGAAUGCCCUAAAAGUCAAUAUAUUAGAAAAGUGAGGGUGUUGCUGGGCAGUGCUAUAGCCUGUUUGGUACCGGCUAAAGUCCUGUUGGCACUGGUCUCAUUCUUGAAUUCGGUAUUCUUUUCACUUAUACGGAUGGGUCUUCUUUGAACUUAUAUAUUGAUAUGUGUGUUUUCAUAUGGUAUUUGCUAUUACUAUUAGACAACAACCACUAACUCGGGAUCGAACCACUGCUAUUAGAAAUCCACUAGUACUGAGUGGUUAACGACUAUACAACUAUGAGAAUUUCAUUACGAGCUAUCAGAUGAAACUAUAUGAUUAACUAUACUCAAUGGGCUACCCCGAUAGAUCCAACUUUGUAACCCAAGCCUAUUCUUUAGUUGCUUCCCGGGGCUUUGACUCCUCUGCUCCUGUCUUUGAGGCUACAUUGCCACUCGAACCACUAUUUAUUAGGGUGAACCCGGGCAUACGAGACUGACACUAAGGCCAGCAACGUCUUAACUCAAAAAAGGGAAUCCAAACACCAGUAACAGGGCUUGCACUAGAUACCCUACAUCAUAUCAAUACCGAUAAGAAAUAGAGUGGAAAGUGUUGUUACUUCAUUACUAUACUUAUAGUGUUGUUACUACAUUACUAUUAUGUCCUUAAUGCCUAUGCUCCUGCUAUGGACGAUAUAUAUAUAUAUAUGGAAUACGGGAAUAGAAUCUUACUAGUGGUAAACCAAGAACCGCACAGGUGCUUCUCGGGAUGAAACACGGAAUCCAAAGACUGUCGCGUAGGAGCAGUUUCUACUAGACGCCAAGACACUACUCAACAAGCAUGCCUACCUUGGUUUCAACCCAAUACUCGUGCUUAUCAUACUUUCACUCAAAAACGGGAAUUGACCUGUUACUGACAAAACAGACCUUCUCUGCGCCAUAAUUCGUAAACAAGCUAUUUACUACAAGACUCACCCUACUAGCUGGGAAACCAACGACUACUUCUUAGGAUCGAACUGGUGCUACUGCUUCCCGGGCUCCCAACAAAGAAAUACAGAAUAAGGCUUGGCCCCUAAUAACAUGCUAAUCUAUAUUAUAGAAGAGAACGGUGAAAUACAGAAUGACUACAAGGAAUAGCAGACUCGCCCAAAGAAGCACAAGGAUGCGAUAAGCAAAUAAAGAAUAAGUGCCUCCGGGGACUAAGAACGAGUUCCGAGCCAGGGUAUUACCUUUACCGGUUCGAUUCUUUUCCUUAAGGGGUUCAGCCUCGAAAGGCGCCAGGAGUGAAAGGGGGCAUGAGAAAAGAGAUGAUCUUUUAGAUGUAGAUGAAAUAGAUGUAGAUGAAACGGGAACGGCAUUAGCUUCUUUGCCCCGUGGACCAAGACUUGUAGUUGCUAAGUGAACUUGUCCGUUAGUAUACGCUUGGCGGUAUAGUUUCAAUAGGUAUGUAUAUCGUUUCUGCUUCAACUUAAGGCCCAGUUCAUUAUAGAUAAUAGAGAUUUCUAUACUAGAAACCCGACCCGACCUCAACUAGAACCACAUCCGCUUCAGAUCUUAUGAAAGCUUUUGAUCCUGCACAAAUGCUCAAGCCUCUGAUUAUUAAUAUUACCCUUAUAUAGUGGAUCUCGCAACAAUGAAUGAAAUUGAAACAACUGAUUCCCUCGCCUUUCCUCUAGCUUAAAAUCCCGUAAUGCAAGGAAUGGAGCGUUCAACAAGUGUUGUGACUUCAGAGCCUGUAAUAGGUGGAGCAGAGCCAGAGUUAUAGGAGCAAUAAGUAACCCAACUGAUCAACUAAACGAAAGAUUGAACUCCACUCAAACCAUAAAAGAAACCGUAUUUGAAAGCCGACUCAAAGAAAGAAAACACAGUAGUUUAGCUAGUACAAGAGAAUCAACUGAAAGACAAAGGAAGGAUCGAUUGCAAGGAAGGAAGGAAGACAGAAAGACAAGACAAGGGAAGGGAAGACUUAUUUACAAAGGAUCGAUAGCAAAGCAAGGAGGGAAGACAAACUAACUUACUGAGAACUAAACGACUUUUGGAAGAGGACCUUCUCCCGUCUAGGAGGACCCUCAAAGAGAAUCUGAUGAAGCUGGCCCGUCAUACUCCCUGGGUGACGAAGCAGCGAGAAGCUUAACCUCACAAUAGCAAACAACAGCAUAGCAUUGAAAACGAUAUUACUUACUUACAUACUUAGUCCCAAGCGCUCAUUUGAGGUUUUGCUAUGAGUUACAGCUGCUCAAUGUUGACUAUUUAAUGUGGAUGGAUUGCGGAUGUCCAGUAGUAAACUUCUUUUGGAAUAGAGAAUAUCUUUCGGAGCGCAUUGAUCUGUCCUUUCAUACUAAAUUGCUGGCCUUGACCUUUAGUAUUUCAAGAGUGAACAAAAGGCUUCUCUCCCUUAUAUGUAAGAAAGGCAUUCUUGGGGCCGAGUCAGACAAGUAAACGCCCUGAAAUUCCUACAGUAUUUGGGAGUUCGAAAGCAAAGAUAUUAGGCAAAAAACAAACAGAACAAACAAGCAGAGUAGAAAGGAAAAGAACCAUUGUAUAGAAAAAAGUGUAAGAUUACACGAUACUUCUAUACCUUGUGCAAGAAAGCGAAAGUGAGAAUUGAGCAUUUGCGAGCGGUGCAUGACAUUUCGGCAGCUGAACCCUAGACAAAUAGUCAUUAUUAGCGCCCUACCCAAACAAAAGAAGAAAAUGGGGAAAAUCAUAUAAGCAGCACAUAGAUAUAAUAUAUGAGUAAACAACACGGAAUUGCUUCCCUUUCUUUGGCUUGAAAACUCACUCUUAUUACUUAUGAGCUUGCUUCUUCAGCCGUUACGCAUUAGGCUUAAUUACUUGUGCGUUAGCGAGCUCUUUCGCACUUAAGCAAACUAACGGAAGCCCCUGCUUGUUCUUAACGACAACUAGUAUUUGUUAUCAAUGAAGCUAGUGCCACGGAUGGAGGUACAGGUACCUAACAAACUGCAUUUACACUAACUCGCUAACUUCUUGCCAGGUGCGUUCCAAAAGAGUAAUAUCACAGCUUCUCGAUUAGUGACAAAAGCGUUAGUUGCUUUUUGACUUGUUUGAAUGGAAUUGAACUAACUUCAUAUAGAAGUGUACAGUAAACUCACUUAUGGAAUGGAAUCUAUACCUCCCUUUACUCCUGACAAGAAGAACUCUGCUAGGCAGCUCGAAACACCAAUAGGUGCCUUAGUGUUCGGAACCGUUAUCUACCACUUGCUUGCUUACGCUCUUGCUUGUUUGUUCCGUUAUUUGUUUAUGAAUUCAUUUAGUGCACAUAUUUGAGUAGAUCAAUCCGAUCGCCGUUACACGUGGUGGAAGAGUCUGUUUUUGAAAGGAGCCAUGCGUGCUCAAAGACGUCAGUGGUAUUUCGAUGCGCCUAUAUGUCCUUAUCUGGUUGGUGAUAUUUCGGUGCAUAUGCCUAUGUCCUUAUGAUCGAGUUGUAUAUAGAGUUGUAUAUAGGGUUCCUUAUACUCCGAAACUAGAAUUGGAAGAAAGUAACCUAACUCUGAAACUCACAGCUUUGCUUCAAAAGGGCUUACUGCCCGGCGCACAAGGUAACCAUAAAUAGCUUGUUAACUUACCUCCCCCCUCCCCUUUCAUAGACUGACUCCUGACUCUCAACUUGACGAAGUUACUUGCCUUACAGCCGAACUCAACUCCUACCGCUAAAGUGAGUUCCUUUGACGCUCUAAAGCUAAUAAUAAGUGAAUUAGUGCUACAUAAGGAAGGGUUAAGGCGGAAGAAGGCCUAUUUCUCGUCGCCAACACAAUACAUCUUAUUAUACUAUUAUUACCUAGAUCUAUACUUCACUCUAUUCCACUAGACUCUAUUCCCUUUUCUUUGUAAGUGGAAUUCCAUCCAUUCUCAUUUCCUACUCCCCAACACAGGACUAUGUCUACUACUACUGAUUCCACUGGACUACUCUACUACUUUGAACCUUCCUACAAGUCCUUCCUCUUCCUGUGUUCAAGCUUAAGGCUGCUCCUGUUAUGAGCAAGUCAAGUUAUCCCGAUGGAAGGCUAAUCCUAAUUGACUCGUUUGGAGGAGAUGGCUAAUUACCUAUGGGUUAAAGGUUAACACUUAGGAUCAAAAGACGUCUUUGGCUCUUCCACUCUAAUCGCUUACUACUUUAUUGACUUGGCUCUUCCACUCUAAUCGCUUACUACUUUGUAUACCGCUUAUGAAACUAAACUCGAUUGAAAACAAGAAAAACUCUCCCUUACGUCCCUACUCUCCUUUUGUCUUUAUCCCUUGAUUUGAUGUAAAUAUUACCCUAAAACCUCUAACGCUUUCGCUCUUUACGGGUCAAGUAUGAUUUUCCUCCCCCUUUUCCAGACACACACAGAAGUGGAGUUCCGGCCCCCGAUACUUCAUAAUAAGAAAGGUAUACUUUACCGGAUGAAUAAUGAGCCAUGGGUAUGAUUGGGGAACAAAGGCUUUUUGCAUCACAGUUGUAACCGAAGUAGAUAAAGAAUACCUCCGCCAGAAGGGAAAGAAGGAAGAGUGAAACCUAACCUACCGUCUCUAUUGUCUACCCUCAGAACAUUGAAACUCACCCGAGGUAUUUAGAAUCUCUUUAGGUUCCUUUGCUACCCGGAUUCCUUUUGUAGAAACCAUUCCCCACAUCAUCUGCUUUUUGCAUCAGCUUUUCUUAUCUUCAAGCUUGACCGUGGUAUGGCAAAUGACAUCAUUCUCUUGUGCGCCUUCUUAUUCUUUGUAAGUGGAUAUGAAAAGAGGGCCUUUGCUAAUCUAUAGACAUGUGGACUAUGCUUUCGAUCCACACUUGCGAUUUAGGCUAGGCCUAUUCCCUUUGUCUCUAAGGUUUGCAGGAAGAAUGGCUAAUAGCCCACUUGUUUAGUGCUGGUAUCACGCUAUAUACGAUUGUCAUCUAAGUCAAAAGUAGAGUAAUCAAACUAGCGGCCCAGAAACAAACCAAGUACUAUGAAUCAAAUGUGGGUACGGGCAAGAGAGGAGACAUUAGACACUGACGAGCCUCGCCCAAGCUGUAAGUUCCGUGCAAACUCUUUGCUUUAAGUGCAGUUCCAACUCUUUGCUGUAAGUGCAGUUCACUCUUUCAGAUAGAUGGUAUUCCGGGGAUGAAGUCAGGCCUAUGCUUUAGAUGGCUCCCAGUAUAGUAUCAUAUGAAAAUAGAUCCAAAUCUCUCUAGAAAUAAAGAUCUCCAUCUCCAUAUAUAUCUAUCUCUAUAAAUCAAGAUCUCCAUAUAUCUAUCCAAUAUAUCUAUCAAUAUAUCUCUUUCUCAUUAUGGAUAUUGAUUAUCUUAUUUAUAUUUGAUAUUUCUUUAUCUGGAUAUAUGCAAGACCCAAGCAAGCAUAAACCUCGAGAGAACCUGAGACUACUCCUUACUUACGCGCAAGAAUAGAUUAUAGAAGAGAAGGAGGCUCUAUAAUAGAUGCGGAUAUCCAGUUGUGCUUGCUUCCUCCCCACUAACUUGCCGAGUCAUAGGCUCUGUGCAAGAGAGAGUGCUUUUACUUCUUCCUUUGCUUUCUUUUUGGAUUUCGCCUUAGCGCUUUCUUAGGUGGUCUUUCAUGAUUGGCUUAGUCAAUCCCGUUCACUUCCCUCUUGCUUUCCCUGUGCCGGUCGGGUCCCGGUCCAGCUCUUGCCCAACCCACCACUUCCAAUCUCUCAGGAAAGGUUUAGUCAUACUAUAUCCAUACAAUACUCUUCCUUUUCUUUUCUCGGUGGUUUACAUUCUCUUUCCUAAUAAUCAAUCAAUAUUAGAUGAUUAUGAUAUGGCAAAAUCUUGAUCUUUCUUGGAUAUGGGCACCUACCCGGACUUAGGCUCUCAUCAAUCUCAAUCCAGGAACUCUUGCAAAAGGACGGCUAAGCACAAGAACGCGCUUUACCUUCCUACAAUGAAGGCACGGGGAAAUAUACCUAAGACUAGACCGGGAAGCAGACUAAGAGCGGUCAUAUCGAAUAAGAACAAGUCGAGCUGAAGAACGAAAGCAAGAAAAGUGAAGUUAUUGCUACUAUGAUUUUAGGAUCCAAAAAGACAUGAGAGCUAGCUUCUGUGAUGAUGAGAACGAAUUCGAAUUCAGGCCUUAUAAAGAAAGAGGUUGGCGGAGGGAAUAUAGGAAGGCUUUCUUCUCGCUGCAUUUCAACGUUACAGGCGGGACCACUGAGAAUAGUCAGAACCCUUACCUCGCUCGGAUAGAUAAAGAAUAGUCAAUAUACAGCUCGGAUAGAUAAAUAAUAGUCAAUAUACAGCUCGGAUAGAUAAAUAAUAGUCCAAUUACAAUAGAAUGGAAUAAGGAUUCUUAUUAGAAUGGAAUAAGGAUUCUGAUUGUGUGAUAGAAAGGGCUUGGGCAAAGGCUUUGGCGUAGUCAGGUUCGCUUCACUUGCCGAAUGCCUUCUUUUAACUCCUAGACACCAUAUCAAGUUGACAUUGGGACAGCCCCACUAUCUAUACUUUCAAGAAAAUAAGGGAAUAGAGCUGACCACUGCUUUUUCUUUAGAUUCCACCCUCUGACUUAUGUUGUGGCCAGGUGGACUCGAGCUUAUUCCUUCUUUUUGAGCUUAUUCCUGCUUUUGUUAUCGGCGAUCGAAAGCGGAAUCGGCCAAGAUAGAGAAUUCUCACUAUGGGUGUACUACGGGACUUCCAAUGCAUUCAAUCAUUGGAUUGAAAGAGAGUCAUAAAACGGAAUAGAUUGAAUUCAAUAUUGAGCCAGCCUAUAGAAGAAUAUGCUUAUAGAGCCUAUAGAGGAAUAUGCUUAUAGAGCCUAUAGAGGAAUAUGCUUAUAGAUAAUUCACCAAUAAAAACAGCUGCUGCAGCCUAUAGUCGAUUAUAGCUAGUUCACCAAUCCAAACUGCAGAGCCCAGCCCAUAGGAAUAUGCUUAUAGAUAGUUAACCAAUAAAAACAGCAAGCAGAGCCUAUUCUCCAGAAAGACAGGCAGAGAGCCGAUUCUCCUUUGAAUUGAUAAUACGGAUUGGCGCGCCGUUGCUUGGCCCUUGAAGAUUCUGAAAAACAAGUAGAACCUUUAUAAGCACCGUAAACUGACAUUGGACGAAGAACCCCCUCUAUGCGGGCCAACACCCUACUAUAUUGAUUGAGGAAAACGGACGGUACAGAGGCACGGGAGCAGUAUGGGCUUGCUACACCAAUACAUCGAAAACUAGUAAGCUUAAUAGCUCGCUGCUCGAGCGCUCUUGCACCGAAGAUGGCUAAGCGAUCUGCCCGUGGGACGAUAUUGAAACACUUGUUCUUGCGCCCCGCCCUUUAAGAUAAGCCGAUCAGAUCAAACCGACGAGGCAUCUUCCAUUCAUUUCGAUGAAGGUCUUUCAGCACCAUAUUUGGAUCUGCCCCUUCUGCGAUCCGGAAUUCCCAGCAAAUCCUUGACUCCUCGAAUACAAUGGGAUUUCACACCUGGCGAAUCUUUCACUCUACCUCCUCUUACUAAGACUAUAGGAUGUUCCUGCGAAUUAUGACCUUCGCCUGGAAUGUGAGCAAAUAUAUGUUGUUGAUUGCUCAACCGUACUUUGGCUAUCUUACGUAGAGCUGAAUUGGGUUUUUUCGGUGUUCUCGUAAGAACACGCAGGCAUAUUCCUUGCUUCUGGGGACAUUGAUCCGAAGCUCGAGUACGGUUCGUGCGCCGUUUUUCUUCUCUACCAUGACGAAUCAAUUGAUUGAAUGUAGGCAUCCCUAUUUCCUAUGUCCUUCCCCCAUUUGCCCUAUCACUAGUAGUUACUCCCGAUCCGAAGCACCCCUUUUCCAUUCAUAGAUAGAUCCAAUCGUCAAAAUCCAUAAAAACGCCAUCAUCGACCAAAAUCCAAACAGAUCAAUCUUGUUGGGAGGUACUGCCCAAGGAGAAGAAAAGGUCACUUCCAGAUCAAGGAUAAUAAAUAAAAUAGAGACCAGAUAAAAU